AAACUGAAGAGUUUGAUCCUGGCUCAGAUUGAACGCUGGCGGCAUGCCUUACACAUGCAAGUCGAACGGCAGCACGGGUGCUUGCACCUGGUGGCGAGUGGCGAACGGGUGAGUAAUACAUCGGAACAUGUCCUGUAGUGGGGGAUAGCCCGGCGAAAGCCGGAUUAAUACCGCAUACGAUCUUUGGAUGAAAGCGGGGGACCUUCGGGCCUCGCGCUAUAGGGUUGGCCGAUGGCUGAUUAGCUAGUUGGUGGGGUAAAGGCCUACCAAGGCGACGAUCAGUAGCUGGUCUGAGAGGACGACCAGCCACAC
rnacentral:rRNA from 1 species